UCUGCACACCAAGCUUGCAUUCUGCAAAACGUGAGCCCAACAGGAAGCUGUCUGCAAAUUCAGGUAGCUUUUCUGACUCUUAAUGAGGUCUUGAAUAUUCUUUCAGAGAAAUGCCAGCAAAAACUGUAGUCAUUUGGGGAAGAAUAAGUCUGGAAGAAAAAUACACAGAGGACUAGCACCAAGAGGGACUUUGUAUUUGCUGCUUAACAAAUCAGCUCAAAAUCUGGUGGCUUAAAACAACAAUCAUAAAGCAUUGCUCACAAGUCUAAAGUCCACAGCUCACGAUGAUGACAAUCCUGAGGAUACAGGAAAAUCAUUUCCCAUGCAAGAAGAAGAAACUAUCUGAAGAAGAGAUAAGAGUGUGCCAUGACAUCAAAAAAGAAAAAAAGGUAGAGAAAUGGAGAACAGGAUAAAGGCCUAGAAUCCCCUGCUCCAGAAAGCAACUGGGUGGGUCAGAACCAACAACAGAAUCAUAAAUGGACAAGCCUGGAAAUCUGAUGCUGAACUCUGAUGGCUUAGAACUUUCUGGACCAAUCUUCUUGCCUUCGUGUGACUUACAAAAACAGCAAAAAACUAGAAUAUUGAGAGAUAAAGACAGGAACUGAAACGUUGAAGAUAAGUAUAAAUAUUGAUUAUGGGUUUGGGGUUGGCAACUUCUUGAUCCCUAGCUCCAUCGCUGAAAAAGGCUCUUCACCACACAUGCUUUCCAGGAGUUUCUGAAGCUGUACUCAAGAGGUUUCUCUGCUGUGCUUCCAAAGUGUCUGCAAAUGGCCAAGUACAUACCCCCUAGAGUUACUGCCCCCUAUUCAACCUGAGCAGAUUUAUCUGUUUUACACAGUAACCUUCUGUUUCAGAUUAUAUUUAAAGGGCUCCAUGUAUGUGCCUCACUCAUGUUUUGAAAACCAUUUAGGUUUUAGGAGUCACAAUUCUAUUCUAAGUAACAGUGCCAAUCCUGUACCACAUUUAUUGUAUGACUCUGUCUAAGCCAGAGCACUGGUAGAAUUUUGUUCAUAAAAGAGAGAAGCUGUGUUUCCUUCCUCACGGGAUAAGUGUGAUGGUGAACAAGAUAAAUACUAAAAUUACUCAGAAAUAAACAUUGUGUAUUAAGUGUUCUAACCUCACAUCAAUAGACUCCAUUUUAGAUUGUGGUUUUAGGGUGCUAGCAGAUUUGAACCCUCAUUUGCUUAGUUGACUAAUCUACCUCUUGGUAAGAUGGGUUCUUCUAGUAGAGAGAAGAGGUAAAAAGAAAUGAAUGCAUUUUAUCACUUGUUAAAAGAUCCUUCAGUUUACUAUGUCGAGAACAGAUUAUUUGGUGGGAAGAUACUAACAACAGGGAAACCAGUAAGGCCUCUAAUACCAUAAUCCAGACAAGAGGUAAAAACCCAUAUUACAAAGCAAAGCUAUGGAAAUAAACACGUUUCCCAUAGAUGCCUAACGAAUCUACUCUGCCACACCAGAGGGGGAAUAGAGCAGCACAUAAGACUAUAGAAUAAGACUGCCUUGGUUCAAAUGCCAGUUUGGGUCAUUAUAGGAGACUUUGAACAAGUUAUUUGAUUCUGACAUCUGUUUUCUUAGGACAUUGAAAGUAGUAUCCACCUCAGAAAAUUGUCAGGAAUAAAGGAGUAGGUGUACGUGAAAUGUUUGGGAUAGUUCCCACAAGGCAGUUAAGUUUCUUGGCUGGCACAUGAAAGAUCUAAAGGGGGCCCCUAGAGGGCAGCAGAGGAAAACGAACAAAAGUGAAAGCGCAGAGUGCUAGAUUCACAUUCGUUAGCAAGGAACAUACAGCAUCUGAUGAGAAAACAACAACAAACAGGGAGAACCCUUCUAUGAACCAUGCAACAUGGAGGCUGAGCUCAGGGUCACAUAUAGCCUGCUAUUUGUUCUUGAUAACAAAGAUAUCAGUAUAGACAGUAGCAGUGACUCAAGCAAAUCUGGUGAUGAGAAGGAUCCAGGAAUUCAUCUGGAACAUAUUUCCAAAUGACUUACACAGCCAGGAAGCUGAUUCCGGCUGUUGGCUGGAAGCUCAGCUGAGGCCCACUUUUUCUGAACUUCUCAGCGCAAUCGAACAUGUUUCCUGCAUUUGGAGAAUUGCCCACCUCCUUUGCUGCUAGGACACUGGGCUCUAACAUAGGCCCUGACAAUCACACACACCUGAGCAAGGUUUUGAAUCAGAAGCAUGUGUUGCAAAGAAAUAAGCGCCAUCUGGGGUCCAUUCUGGUAAGAAUGGCAGCAGGUAAAUCAGUUUCUAGAGGGGGAGGGGGUGGUCAAGGUCACACACCAGCCAAGACCCAGAACCAACAAUAUGUAUGUGCCUGGCAGAAGCAAUAGAGCUCUUUCCACCAGAGCAGUUCUUCAAUGUGAUUCUGGGCAUUGGUCCUGGCCAGGACCUCCCAACCUGGUUUCUGGCCUUCUGGGAAAUCUUAAAUUCAAUCAAUUCCUUUUCUGAUCAUACUAAAUUUCAAUUAGUAGCAACUAAGGACUCUGACAGAGAAAAGCAGGGUGUUUGUUCCCAGUAUGCCCCGCAGAUGAGGUCUGACACCUCUGGAGAAAGGAACUAGAAGCCAGAAUGCCCGAAAUUAUUUUAAUAAGCAAUGUUGUGACACUCAAGAGUCUGAAUAGCACUACCUCGGUUGCCAGGUGACAAAGUUCUACAUUGAGCAGGAAAAUGACCCCUUGCCACUCUUCCAUGGAAUGGAGCAGAGUCCUGGCACCAGGGAGGCUCUGGGGAAAUAGUCUUCAAACAUCUUUUAGAAGUUCAAAUUUAAACAACAAAGUUCAAAUUCUUUUUUAGUAAAAUCAACAUAGAAAGGGUCCCCUUAUGAACUGGAUAAAAGUGGACUGCUUUGGUUGAGGUGGGACUUGGAGUUCAUGGGGGGCCCUAGUAGAUCCCUACACCCAAAAAGGGUCCCCUUAUGAACCGGAUAAAAGUGGACUGCUUUGGUUGAGGUGGGACUUGGAGCUCAUAGGGGGCCCUAGUAGAUCCCUACGCCCACUUGGAAAUCAAUCCACAGGACUCAAUGACGGUGCCCAACAGGGAGGCUCACUGAGUCCGUGAAACUCUGGAGGCCAUGGAGAAUGUCCUGGGAGGACACCUGGCAGAGGCAUGCCAGACAGGCUGCAGGUCCCAGGCUCAUCCAUGCCCUUCCAUCCACCCCCCUGAAAGGACCUCUGACAUUUCUCAGAGCCCGAGGCAUCUCCUGGCACCACGUUCUCUGGAUUCAAUCAUUGCCUGCUGGACUCGAUGGCCUUUCAACACCUUAGCUGCCUUUUUAAAACAAAUCACCAUGGGUAUUAGAAUGGAAAGGUAUGAGCAUGGGAAAAACUGGGGGCUCAUACCCUUCCUGGCAAUGGGAUUUCAGGAAAGUUGUUUAACCUCUCUGAACAUCCAAAUGGAUAUAAUAACUAAACCUAGUUAUGAGAUAAGGUAUCUGAAGUGACAGGUAGGGAGCCCUGGACCUAGAAGUUAUAUAAAAACACUACCCACUUUAAUGAAGGCAUUUACUUUCUCAAGAGCAUACUCAUCUUCCAGGUCUGGCCCUCUCACUGCCUUGGUCUCCCAGUCUGAUAGCCAGGACCAAGUGAGAGCAGAUCCCAGACACUGCAAAGACAUUACAUCAAGAAGAUUCAAUGUGGGGCGCCUGGGUGGCU